CCCCUAGACGUUCUGGGCUGCACGCGCGCUACAAUAAUACGCACAGCGAGUAUCACCGAGCUCGAAAGGGCAAGGUAAACAAUAGCAAAGGUACUGUAAUGGUUAUAGAUCCUUGUAAUUAUUGAUCUUCAACGAGGAAUUCCUAGUAAGUAUGUGUCAUCAUCACGCACUGAUUACGUCCCUGCCCUUUGUACACACCGCCCGUCGCUCCUACCGAUUGGGUGAGCCGAUGAAACUCUCGGAUGUAGGCUAUUCAUAGCCCGCAGAAGAGAUUUGAAUCGUAGCGCUUAGAGGAAGGAGAAGUCGUAACA
rnacentral:rRNA from 1 species